GUGUUCAACGCUAAACUUAGUUGAGAACAGGUCAUUAUAAAGAAUUAAGUUACCUAACCAUUGCAUUUUCUAGCUGACAGCAGGAAGUAUUAGCUCUGUAUUUGUGUUUUAAAAUUUCCAGAUUUUACAGCCUGGUACCUCUUGUAGUAUUUGAGACUGAAAUUCUUGCAGUUUCAGAUUGUCAGGCUCUGCUGUUUAAGUCUGAUGUGGUGUGAUACCAUGAGGUAGCUACGUGUAUGUCGUGGACAUGAAUUCAGCAGUAAAAUAACCACAGGAGGGUGCAAUUUUGGAUUGGGAACUCCAUCUCAAGGAUUCCUAUCACAGGAAAGACAUUGUGGAACCUGGAAUAAAAGCAACAUGUUUUUGCUGCCAGGCCUGUUUGACAGCCUUAUGAGCUAAUGUAAGACCCAUCAGAAGUGGAGAAUGCAUCCCAUUCUUAGGCCAUUGGGGAAACCCAAUUUAAGCAUGCAGAUGUAUGUUACCAACCCUGCAUGCUCUGGGAGGUCAACAGCGUGCUUACUGAAUGCUCUGUUCUUAGUAUAACCUCUGACACCUGUUUCGCAGAGCACCGUCUUUCCAAGAAGCGUGAAGGUCCUCAUUUUCCCGUUGCUCCUCACAGCAGAAGUCAAUUACCAGCACUUCAGACUUAGGAGUCAAAAUUCAGUUCUUUCUACACUGCUAAACUCUACAGAUUCCUGAUUUACUCUAUAUGCCUACUGCCCUGCAUGUGCAAUGUCAGCUUGGUCCCACUUGAGCCCAGUCUCCUCCAGC
rnacentral:lncRNA from 1 species